AUGCCUCUCUCCCCCUCCCCAUUCCGCCCCCUCUCCUGUCUGUCUCUCGCAAUCUCCAGAGUUCGUCGAGAGAUUUCAGCGCGUGUCCCGGCAUCGAAGAGCGGCCGCGCGCGAGGAAGGGAGCUCAUCGCUGGAGAGCGGAUGGGCGCGGGGUGUAGAGCAUCUGUGCGGGAGGGCGACAACCUCGGCGGCCGGAAUCGACCGUGCGUGGAUCUCCAUGGCAGAGCGGGUCUGCGUGCGUCCGCGGUUAACGGGAUGCAUCUCACAAGCAAUGGGAUCUGCAGCGGCAGCCAUGGAGCCCAGCCAGUCGAUUGGUCCUGUCGUGGUGCUCGACCAUGCCCCACUCUGAAGCCACCCUGCCCUGCGUCCAUGCGGCUCGACAUGCAACCGGCCCCCAGGUAGUGCUGGCAGCCAUGGAGGCGAGGCUGAGCUCCGGCGAGCAGCUGGUGGAGCUCCACCAGGUUCUACACUGAAGCGACAACAGCGUGCCCUUGAAUCGCAGACUCGCGUUGUUUGCCGAUCUCCUCGACGACACCGUCGCUGGAGCUGGACAGAGGAGUAUGGCAUGUUGCUCCCUCGUCUGCCACAAGUGCUAGCUCCAUCGUGCUCCUGGCGUGAUGCAAGGGGGGGCAGCCAUGUUAGGAUAUCAGGUUCAAUUCAUGCAGCAUUGCGUGGAGCUGCAAGAUGGUGUGGAAAAGUCGUCAAUCUCCAGCAACAUUUAUGUGCCUCAUCAAGGGAACUUCUUCUAUAGUCAAUAGGCAGGCUUCUUUCAGUAGCAAACAUAUUCAUUUUCACCGGGCUCCGCGCACCUUUGGUACUUCUGGAGGGCAAGCAGUUUUAUAGUGACUUCUUUCUUAGGGUAGGGCGACGAAUACUUCCAAUUCCGGAAAGGUCAUUGGGUCGCCUUUGGAAGCUAAAGCUAAAGUUGUAGAAAGCCGGGAGAAAAAGCGAAAGCUUGCUCGAAACGACCUAUACCCUAACCCUCGGAAGCGAAAGACGCAAAGCGUCACUUUUCAAAAGGAAGGAGUGAGGCAAGGCGGAAGUAGUGCUUGAAUACCUCUAAGUACUGAGCUCUCAGCUCAUUGAUUCAUGACACUCUCCUUCCACGGGAAAAAUCUCUCAUUUGAAAGCCCACUAUGCUGCUCCUACUUCAGCUUCUAAGAAUAGGCCAGGUGCUAACUCCACCUUCCGGACUGCCCUUCAUCGGCACGAAAGUAAGAUUGGACAUGAUAGACGGAAGCAGAAUCGAGGCAGUAUCAGUUUCCAGGUUUCGAGGAAGGAAAUGUGCCGAAUAAACCAACUUUAAGAUGGGAUAAGAUGCUCGAUAAGGCAUGAGGUUCAGUAUCAUAACAGUUUCCUCGUAGUAACGCCGGCGAAUCUCAUUGCGGUAAGCCAACUCCUAUCCUUCUUGCGGAAAGGGCAUUCAAUGCCAUCUUCAUUCCCUUCCUUGCUUCGAGGAGCAGGUCGAAUAGUCAAAGAAGGGGAUGGCUGGGCGGGACAGAUCCGAAGAUUUAGAGUAAAGAGCACUGGCUUCACCCGGAGAUGGUACUCGCUCAGAUCCAAUUCGAGUUUCCUAUUUUGUAGAGGGCACAUGCGCCAUUCCCUCAUUUGAUAGAGAUCCCGGUAGAUAAGAUGUGGGCUAAGCAGGCUAAGGGGUGGCUCGCUUAGAAUGACUUCCAUAAGAAAGUGCCUACAAUCAUGCGAAAGCCGGGCAAAAGGAAGAGCUAUCUUGAGAGGAAUAACAGAUAGACAAGAGAUGACUAAGCGCUCUCACCUGCGUUACCAGAAGUUGGUGAAGCAAUUUUUCCAAUUUACUUGUACCUAUAAUAUAACUAAGUUGCUUGACCAGCUACUAUUUCAGGUUUGUGUACUUUCUAUGGGACUCUGUGGGCACGUACAACCUGACUUCCAAAUUUAGGGGCAUAUAUACCUGUGUUGGAUUUCGUAUAGUUGUUGUGUUCACAUGAUUUACUUGAACUUGGGAUUUUCCCUUGCUAGUUUUUCCAUGAUCUAAAUUGCUGCUGCCUCUUGGUGUGUUACUUACAUGUGGAGAUAUGUACAAUUAGUUAGUUGCUCGAUUCCAAGGCAUGUGUUGUACCCAUGUUGUAUGUUACUUUUUUAGUUCCCCAAAUCCUACUUGUUGUGUGCAAUAUUCAGUCCUCCUUGUCAAAAGUAUGGCAAGCUAAGACAACGAAAUUGCUGGACAAUUUGUUAAAUCCUACUGGUUUUACUAUGUGGAAGAA